rnacentral:rRNA from 1 species
GACGAACGCUGGCGGCGUGCUUAACACAUGCAAGUCGAACGGAAAGGCCCUGCUUUCGUGGGGUGCUCGAGUGGCGAACGGGUGAGUAACACGUGAGUAACCUGCCCUUGACUUUGGGAUAACUUCAGGAAACUGGGGCUAAUACCGGAUAGGAUCUCCUGCUGCAUGGUGGGGGUUGGAAAGUUUCGGCGGUUGGGGAUGGACUCGCGGCUUAUCAGCUUGUUGGUGGGGUAGUGGCUUACCAAGGCUUUGACGGGUAGCCGGCCUGAGAGGGUGACCGGCCACAUUGGGACUGAGAUACGGCCCAGACUCCUACGGGAGGCAGCAGUGGGGAAUAUUGCACAAUGGGCGGAAGCCUGAUGCAGCAACGCCGCGUGCGGGAUGACGGCCUUCGGGUUGUAAACCGCUUUCGCCUGUGACGAAGCGUGAGUGACGGUAAUGGGUAAAGAAGCACCGGCUAACUACGUG